GCAAUUCACUGCUUACAAUAUUUGUCCUGUAAUUGCCAAAAAUAUAUUAAAAUCAUCUACAAAUUAUACUUUUUAACAAGCAGAUCUAAUAAGUGAAUCCAUUUUGAUCAACUGUUCCAUAGUUCCACUAUUAGUGCAAAAUUGUGAAAAUGGUUCCCUAUUUUAAUACUUUAUUGAUAUUUAAUGUUGUGCCUUACUUGUCCUUUAACAUUAUGUAAAAUAUAAAUGGAUGCACUUAAAAAUACUGUGUUAAAUUACAAUGUAAUAACAUAGUAAAAGUGCCAAAAAGGACUGGGUCUUGAAUGCAUAGAAUCUCAGAAAGUCUUGAUCCCAUACAGAGAUAUUCACUAAAGUGAGAAUUCAAAUUCUAGGCCAAAGAAACCAAACUGGAAGCAUAAUUUACUUAGAGCAGUGGCAUACCUAACAUGGUCACAGGGGUCACAGCUGCGACCUCUGUGACCAUGGGCCACUGCAACUUCAGGGCCGGUGCAUUGCCACACCAGGCCCCGCAGUCACUGGAUAAUCGGCAGGUGGGACUGCUGUACUGCGCAGCUCCCCUCCUGCCGGUCUCUGUUUGUGAAGCGCGGCCGAGCACGGCAGCUGACAGGAAGGGCUCACAGAGAGAGCACUUCAUGUCAGACUAAGUACCUCUUGGCCGCGCUACACAAUCAUAAAGUACAGGGGAAGAGUGGGGACAGAGGGAUUGAGG